GACGAACGCUGGCGGCGUGCUUAACACAUGCAAGUCGAACGGAAAGGCCCUGCUUUUGUGGGGUGCUCGAGUGGCGAACGGGUGAGUAACACGUGAGUAACCUGCCCUUGACUUUGGGAUAACUUCAGGAAACUGGGGCUAAUACCGGAUAGGAGCUCCUGCUGCAUGGUGGGGGUUGGAAAGUUUCGGCGGUUGGGGAUGGACUCGCGGCUUAUCAGCUUGUUGGUGGGGUAGUGGCUUACCAAGGCUUUGACGGGUAGCCGGCCUGAGAGGGUGACCGGCGACAUUGGGACUGAGAGACGGCGCAGACUCCUACGGGAGGCAGUAGUGGGGAAUAUUGCGCAAUGGGCGGAAGCCUGAGGCAGCGACGCCGCGUGCGGGAUGACGGCCUUCGGGUUGUAAACCGCUUUCGCCUGUGACGAAGCGUGAGUGACGGUAAUGGGUAAAGAAGCACCGGCUAACUACGUG
rnacentral:rRNA from 1 species